rnacentral:rRNA from 1 species
AACGAACGCUGGCGGCAGGCUUAACACAUGCAAGUCGAGCGCACCGCAAGGGGAGCGGCAGACGGGUGAGUAACGCGUGGGAAUCUACCCAUCUCUACGGAAUAACGCAUGGACACGUGUGCUAAUACCGUAUACGUCCUUCGGGAGAAAGAUUUAUCGGAGAUGGAUGAGCCCGCGUUGGAUUAGCUAGUUGGUGGGGUAAAGGCCUACCAAGGCGACGAUCCAUAGCUGGUCUGAGAGGAUGAUCAGCCACACUGGGACGGAGACGCGGCCCAGACUCCUACGGGAGGCAGCAGUGGGGAAUAUUGGACAAUGGGCGCAAGCCUGAUCCAGCCAUGCCGCGUGAGUGAUGAAGGCCCUAGGGUUGUAAAGCUCUUUCACCGGUGAAGAUAAUGACGGUAACCGGAGAAGAAGCCCCGGCUAACUUCGUGCCAGCCGCCGCAGUAAGAC